GUCUAGGUAGUAUAGUGGUUAGUAUGCUCGCUUGUGGCGCGAUUGACGUCAGUUCGAUUCUGGCCCUGGACA